CACAGUGUAGCAAUACAUGGGUGGCGACCGGCAAACGGGUGCGGAACACGUACGCAACCUUCCUUCAGGCGGGGAAUAGCCCAGAGAAAUUUGGAUUAAUACCCCAUAAUAUUUUGAGAUGGCAUCAUCUUAUUAUUAAAGCUACGGCACCUGGAGAUGGGCGUGCGGCUGAUUAGGUAGUUGGCGGGGUAAUGGCCCACCAAGCCUACGAUCAGUAGCUGAUGUGAGAGCAUGAUCAGCCACACGGGCACUGAGACACGGGCCCGACUCCUACGGGAGGCAGCAGUAAGGAAUAUUGGUCAAUGGACGCAAGUCUGAACCAGCCAUGCCGCGUGGAGGAUGAAGGUCCUCUGGAUUGUAAACUUCUUUUAUCUGGGACGAAAAAAGGGUUUUCUAACUCGUCUGACGGUACCAGAUGAAUAAGCACCGGCUAACUCCGUGCCAGCAGCCGCGGUAAUACGGAGGGUGCAAGCGUUAUCCGGAUUCACUGGGUUUAAAGGGUGCGUAGGCGGGCAUUUAAGUCAGUGGUGAAAUACCUGAGCUUAACUUGGGAACUGCCAUUGAUACUAUUUGUCUUGAAUGUCGUGGAGGUUAGCGGAAUAUGUCAUGUAGCGGUGAAAUGCUUAGAUAUGACAUAGAACACCUAUUCCGAAGGCAGCUAACUACGCGAAUAUUGACGCUGAGGCACGAAAGCGUGGGGAUCAAACAGGAUUAGAUACCCUGGUAGUCCACGCCCUAAACGAUGAUUACUCGACAUUAGCGAUACACUGUUAGUGUCUGAGCG
rnacentral:rRNA from 1 species